rnacentral:rRNA from 1 species
AGCGAACGCUGGCGGCGUACUUAACACAUGCAAGUCGAACGGGGAUCAUCGGUGUAGCAAUACAUCGGUGGUCCUAGUGGCGCACGGGUGAGUAACACGUGGGUAACCUACCCUCGAGUUCGGGAUACCCCCUCGAAAGGGGGGCUAAUACCGGAUACGUUCCUCGGGUCGACAGGUCUGGGGAGGAAAGGUGGCGCAAGCUGCCGCUCUUGGAGGGGCUCGCGGCCUAUCAGCCAGUUGGCGGGGUAACGGCCCACCAUGGCUAUGACGGGUAGCCGGCCUGAGAGGGUGACCGGCCACACUGGGACUGAGACACGGCCCAGACUCCUACGGGAGGCAGCAGUGGGGAAUAUUGGACAAUGGGCGAAAGCCUGAUCCAGCAACGCCGCGUGAGGGAUGACGGCCUUCGGGUUGUAAACCUCUUUCAGUACUCACGAAGCGAAAGUGACGGUAGGUACAGAAGAAGCACCGGCCAACUACGUGCCAGCCGCCGCGGUAACAC